rnacentral:rRNA from 1 species
GACGAACGCUGGCGGCGUGCUUAACACAUGCAAGUCGAACGGACAGGCCCUGCUUUUGUGGGGUGCUCGAGUGGCGAACGGGUGAGUAACACGUGAGUAACCUGCCCUUGACUUUGGGAUAACUUCAGGAAACUGGGGCUAAUACCGGAUAGGAGCUCCUGCCGCAUGGUGGGGGUUGGAAAGUUUCGGCGGUUGGGGAUGGACUCGCGGCUUAUCAGCUUGUUGGUGGGGUAGUGGCUUACCAAGGCUUUGACGGGUAGCCGGCCUGGGAGGGUGACCGGCCACAUUGGGACUGAGAUACGGCCCAGACUCCUACGGGAGGCAGCAGUGGGGAAUAUUGCACAAUGGGCGGAAGCCUGAUGCAGCAACGCCGCGUGCGGGAUGACGGCCUUCGGGUUGUAAACCGCUUUCGCCUGUGACGAAGCGUGAGUGACGGUAAUGGGUAAAGAAGCACCGGCUAACUACGUG